UCUUAUUGGGUGAUGGGUAUCAUAAUGUUCUACAUGGGCGACUUUUGAGUUUCAUGGAGAAGAGAGAGAGAGCCACAUGUCAAAGUGGAAUAAAUUUUAAGUUUCAAGGAGUAAAGUGAUAACUUUUAAGCUACAGAAAUAAAGUGAGAUCAAAAUCGAAUUUUAAUAGACGUGGCUAAAAAAUAAGCCGUUUAUUUAUUGACACAAAAGACUACCGUGAAGAUGUACUUGGAUCAUAUAAAUCAUUCUUCAAUCGCAUUUUGAGGAACUUCACAAUAAAACAAGUUCAUGGUCCAUAUGGCAUCCCGAUUUAAUAUUCUAUUGCUAUGUAGAAGUUCUCUUCACAUGUGAAAUACAUUAUUAGUUACAAAUUCUACAAUAAUAAUUCAUUUCAAGUAAGAUGUUCUAGGCCACAGCAGGUCAACCCCGGCGAGUCAAUGAACAGGUCAACAGGGUUUAGGAUGACGGCUGGCUCGAGCCAGCAACCAGAAGCCUGUUACUUGGCAAAUGCCUACGUGGCGCACAAUCAUUUGGUACCAAACUGUGAGGUCAGCCGAACGGAACGCACAACACGGUUCAUCUUCAAAGUGGGACGAACCACCAAAAUCCGUUUUGAUAUGGAACGGGUUCAUGCUUAUACAGUGUUUUUUUUUUAAUUGUUGAAUUAGACGCUAUGCAACCGUGAAUACGUACAUACAAAUUAUUUUCACAAACUUACCGUAUAGAUAUAAUUAUAAUUUAUUUCAAUUUUAUUUUUUGUGAACUUUCGCUAUUCGAGUGGUGG
rnacentral:lncRNA from 1 species